rnacentral:misc_RNA from 1 species
GAAAUGCGAUAAGUAAUGUGAAUUGCAGAAUUCAGUGAAUCAUCGAAUCUUUGAACGCACAUUGCGCCCGCCAGCACUCUGGCGGGCAUGCCUGUUCGAGCGUCAUUUCAACCCUCAGAACCCCUUGCGGGAUCUGGCGUUGGGGAUUGGCAUCCAGCCAGCCCCGAUAUCUAGUGGCGGUCCCUCCGCGACCUCCCCUGUGCAGUAGCGAUACCUCGCAGCGGGACAGCGGUCUGACCACGCCGUAAAACCCCCAACUUCUCAAGGUUGACCUCGAAUCAGGUAGGAAUACCCGCUGAACUUAAGC